rnacentral:rRNA from 1 species
UACGAAGGGGGCUAGCGUUGCUCGGAAUUACUGGGCGUAAAGCGCACGUAGGCGGCUUUCUAAGUCGGGUGUGAAAUCCUGAGGCUUAACCUCGGAACUGCAUUCGAUACUGCGGUGCUUGAGGACUGGAGAGGAGACUGGAAUUCAUGGUGUAGCAGUGAAAUGCGUAGAGAUCAUGAGGAAGACCAGUGGCGAAGGCGGGUCUCUGGACAGUUCCUGACACUGAGGCACGAAGGCCAGGGGAGCAAACGGG